rnacentral:lncRNA from 1 species
GAAAGGGGAGGAACUUGGAGACGGCUGGACAUCACCUGGGGAAUAAUUCGAACAUCUAUUCGAUCAUCAGACGUGAAGACAUACAUCGACAGAAGCAAGAUCAGACAAAAAUUAGUGUGGAGGAAAUUAAAGAAGGGAAGCCAAUUGGUUCAAGGGUUCAAGCCACGAUCAAGAUUCAAUCCCGGGGAUCCUAUGCUGUUAAAGACAGUGAUCCUCAGCAGGACUUCAGGAUCAGGAUCAUGGAUCAUCAAAGGAUCCUCAUGCUAACAGUUACCUUCGUUUAAAACAAUGUUAUUUUGCAGGAACAUCUAGCAGGAUACGCUCUUAGCAUCAUAAUCAAGGGACGCGUCUUCACAAUUAUAGCAGGAGCUUAAUCGAAGAUAGACGUUGCAAAGGAUAUGGAAACUUAGCUUGAUUUAUGGGCGGCAAUUUAGGCUAGAUUGUCUUUUAUU